AGAGUUUGAUCAUGGCUCAGAACGAACGCUGGCGGCAGGCUUAACACAUGCAAGUCGAACGCCCCGCAAGGGGAGUGGCAGACGGGUGAGUAACGCGUGGGAAUCUACCCUUUACUACGGAAUAACGCAUGGAAACGUGUGCUAAUACCGUAUGUGUCCUUCGGGAGAAAGAUUUAUCGGUAAAGGAUGAGCCCGCGUUGGAUUAGCUAGUUGGUGGGGUAAAGGCCUACCAAGGCGACGAUCCAUAGCUGGUCUGAGAGGAUGAUCAGCCACAUUGGGACUGAGACACGGCCCAAACUCCUACGGGAGGCAGCAGUGGGGAAUAUUGGACAAUGGGCGCAAGCCUGAUCCAGCCAUGCCGCGUGAGUGAUGAAGGCCCUAGGGUUGUAAAGCUCUUUCACCGGAGAAGAUAAUGACGGUAUCCGGAGAAGAAGCCCCGGCUAACUUCGUGCCAGCAGCCGCGGUAAUACGAAGGGGGCUAGCGUUGUUCGGAUUUACUGGGCGUAAAGCGCACGUAGGCGGAUCGAUCAGUCAGGGGUGAAAUCCCAGAGCUCAACUCUGGAACUGCCUUUGAUACUGUCGAUCUGGAGUAUGGAAGAGGUGAGUGGAAUUCCGAGUGUAGAGGUGAAAUUCGUAGAUAUUCGGAGGAACACCAGUGGCGAAGGCGGCUCACUGGACCACAUCUGACGCUGAGGCGCGAAAGCUAGGGGAGCAAACAGGAUUAGAUACCCUAGUAGUCC
rnacentral:rRNA from 1 species